GCAAGUCGAACGAGAAUCUAUGGAAAGAGGAUUCGUCCAAUUGAAAUACCCCCNUAAAGGCGGACGGGUGAGUAACGCGUGAGGAACCUGCCUUUCAGAGGGGGACAACAGUUGGAAACGACUGCUAAUACCGCAUAACGCGUAGAGGUCGCAUGGCCUUUACGCCAAAGAUUUAUCGCUGAAAGAUGGCCUCGCGUCUGAUUAGCUAGUUGGUGAGGUAACGGCCCACCAAGGCGACGAUCAGUAGCCGGACUGAGAGGUUGAACGGCCACAUUGGGACUGAGAUACGGCCCAGACUCCUACGGGAGGCAGCAGUGGGGAAUAUUGGGCAAUGGGCGCAAGCCUGACCCAGCAACGCCGCGUGAAGGAAGAAGGCUUUCGGGUUGUAAACUUCUUUUGUCAGGGACGAGCAGAAGACGGUACCUGACGAAUAAGCCACGGCUAACUACGUGCCAGCAGCCGCGGUAAUACGUAGGUGGCAAGCGUUGUCCGGAUUUACUGGGUGUAAAGGGCGUGUAGCCGGGUCGGCAAGUCAGAUGUGAAAUCCACGGGGCUUUAACUCGUGAACUGCAUUUGAAACUGUUGAUCU
rnacentral:rRNA from 1 species